rnacentral:sRNA from 1 species
UAACCAAAUUGUUACAUGAAGAAGGAAGAACCUGUCCAUAUGGAUAAAUAUCAUCCUACCUAGUGGGACCCAGAGGGGAUGAAUGAAGAGGAAGGGUGGACUCUCUUUCUGGAUCCAGAACAUGGCUUCUCCUUGUGGAUGCUUGUUUCUCUGGUCUUAGACUUCAGGAUGUAUGUCCUGCUGAAUCCGGAGGUGGAAUGUACAAGGAGCAACGACGCUAGGAGAGUUUGCACAACAGGAGCGAAAUCAUGAGUGUCUUGAGUUUCACUGAGGUGUUCUGGGAAGUCAUCUCUUUGGCUCUUCAGAUAUGAAGCCGGGUUAUGGUAGGAAAACACAAAGGCCAUAAGUCCUGUGGUUUUCAAAGAAGUUCUUCAGUGGAAGGAGGGGAGAGUGGAGCAGAAUAAGGGUGUUGGCUAGACUUUCCCAGGAUUCCCAGGAUUGCUGAAGAGUGUCUGGAGCAUAUACCAAUCUUAUAUACUUUUAUGUGAUGUAAUUAAUUCAUCCAUGAAACAAGAAGGGUUUUUUUCCAUGGGAAAUGUCCUUGAACUGUUGAAACUUGAAAAAAUAAAAAAAGA